GCGCGGGGCUCGCGGUAGCUGCGGGCCCGGCGCGGAUGGCGGGCGGCGCGGGCUGGGCGGGCGCCCCCGCGGCUCUGCUGCGCUCCGUGCGCCGCCUGCGCGAGGUGUUCGAGGUGUGCGGCCGCGACCCCGACGGCUUCCUGCGCAUGGAGCGCAUCGCGGCGCUCGGACUGCGCUUCGGCCGCGGCGAGGAGCUUUUCCUGGACAUGGCUGGAAGCAACCAGGCAGUAUGCUUCCUUGUUUACAUGGAGAGCAGGUGACACAAGGUCUCCCCUUGGGCGCCCGAGCUCCUGCUCCUCAAGAUUGCUGACAGCUAUUAGGAAACACCGAUGCCACUUGGCUGAAGCCUGGGUGUUUGGCCCAGCAAAGGGAUGGGCUGCUGUAAUGAACAGAGAGCCAGCCCAAGUCAGAAGCCAGCCCGGCAGCCUUCGGAGAUACAGGAACUUCUGGAGAAGGAGAACCCAGAGGUACAGCUGGAUUCUGCUCAGAAGGGGCAGAGAUUGGAUGCUAAAGAAGAGAGGACUGUGUCCCCCACAUCUGUGGCCAGCGGAGAAAGCAGGGAAGGCAGAGGCCAGACCAGCUGCUCUCCUAGGGGGGAGAAGACCCAGGCAGCCACACCAAGUAUGCAAAUAGAGAAGGGGCUGGGAAGACACCUCAGGGCUGUGACACUUGAGACCCAGUACAGAAUGGCGGUGCUGGCCAAACAGAAGGAAAGCCCAGGGCCUGGCAGAAAAGCAGAUGUGCCCGUGACCUGCUGGGGAGAGUGGAGCAAAAAUGGGCACACAGAGACGUUCUCAUGCCUGCGUUUCCACCUCUCCGCAUUCCUGUGCUCACGGGCUUGCAGGUCAUCGUGGGGGCCCAGAAAAGGCAGCAUUCUUUUGGGGCAGAGGCUCCCCCACUCUGGGAUCCUGCAGACAUCCCUGCUGCCUCCAGUCCCAGGAGCAUCCCCUGGGCCAUCCUGUGGCUGGGACCUUCCAGGCACAGGGCCUUUCUGCUGCCCCUGGGGACAUCUAUGAACAGAAAGCAAGAGGGAAAGCGAGGAGCCGUCCCCUCCCUCACCUGCCGCUGCCUUCGUGUCCCCCACUUCCUUUCAUCCUUUUCACCCCGGAGGGUCUGACAGGUGAGGCGGCUUGUGCUGGGGUCCCCCAGACAGUGGAGGAGCUAUGAUUUGAAACUGGCCUGUCUGGGUCAAAAGCUGUGUGCUAAGCUGCCUGCAUUUGGGGAGCCCAGGCACUUUGAAAGUCAGAGAGGCAGAGAAAGCUCAAGACAGAGGCUUCUUCUGUCUCCCUGAGCCUUGGUGGUGCUGGGGAAACGGGCACCGCCUCCGCGGAAGGCACCAAGGGCCUGCAGGACCCGAGUGGAGCUGAGGGGGCGCCUGGGAGCUCACCUGCAUUCUGCCUCUCUACUUCCUGUUCGGAUAGUGGUUAAGUAGGCCCAGGAGUCGCUCGCAAUUCUUGGCUGCUCUGUUCUGUAAUCCUGGGCGGGCCAGGCUGUGUGGCGCUGGGGUCGAACACACUGAUUAUUCUCUGACAACCUGGCCUGUCCACCGGAGCUCUGACCACAUCCUCCAGCUGCUGCACCUCCCCUGGCCCCACUGCCAGUCUUUCCAGCCACAGGCCCUGUGGCCACGGUGGGCACCAGCAACCUUUUACUGUCUGUGCCAUGCUCCCCUCUGCCUUCUUCAACACCCCAGUUCAGGCCAGGCUGGCUGUCAUGUUGGGAACUGGGGUUCUACCUCAGGUUCAGGUUUGAGACCCAGCCCCAGAAUCUAAUUUUCUGAAGUUACUGAGCAUCUCUGUGCCUCAGUCCCCUCAUCUGUAAAGUGGGGGUGAUGCGGGUGGUAUGUGUAAAGCCCUCACUGCCCCACCUGAAGCACAGGAAGUGCUAUAAGCCAGUGUGACCACGAGCACAAUCUGGCUUUCUGGAUACGCUCACCAUGCAUCACAGAUUUGCCAUUUCCUUUUGGGGGAAAACACUGAAAAUCCCUCCUUUAGCAAGUCUGAAGUAUACACUACCUAUUAUUGCCUCCUGUCACCUUGCUGUGCAGGCAGUCACCAGGCCUGCGGGACAGGGACAGUCGGUGGCUUUGAGCAGCUCCCCCAGCUUCUGGGAAGCGCUUUCCACUCUGGGAUGGAGAUCAGCAACACACCUGUGGGCAGCGCAGGCCAGUCUCGUCCAGGUGUCCCUUGGAGCAUGAGGACAGGGAGUCCCCUGUGCUCAGGGAAGGGCCGUCCUGGCCAGAGGUGACACUGGGGCUCAGGCUGGAAUGGGGUCCUGCUCAAGCUGGAACGCUCUGCCAUUGAGCUGCACCCCAGGCCCCUCGUCCCCUCACCCCUCACAGUGGACACACAUUCUUAUUUCUCCAGUGUGUUAUAAUCUAUUUCAUUAUCUGUUCCAAUGCUCAAAGGUAUUUUGUUUUGUUUCAGUGGAAUGUGGCAGGAGGGAAGGACGGGUGCCCUUGAGGACCUGCCCCCUGGCAGGAGGGACGGCAGGGAGGCAGGGAGAGACUGACCAGGCCAGAAGCAGGGCCAGCUAAGCAGAGGGGCCAGGCAGCUCUGGGGAGCUGGAAAUGAGCCCAUCAGCAAGAAGCCUGGAGGAUGGGGCAGGACGGGUGGGGCAGCUUCCUGGCCUCUGCAGAAUUUCACUGGAGCCCUGUGAUUCUUGCCUAGGUAACUGGGUCAGGUCGUGGGCCCUUAGUUGGUACAGGGGUAACCACUGGCUCUAGAUGUCCUCAUGCAUGGUGAGCCCACAGUUCAGAGGCCUGCCCUUACUCAGAAAGUCUCUAUUUCAAAACAAAAACUGCCAAACAUUAUUGUCGAUGUAGAAAUUUCAGCUGGGCACAGUGGUGCAUCCCUAUAAUCCCAGUACUCAGGAGGCUGAAGCAGGAGGAUCACCUCAAGUUGGAGGCCAGCCUACAUAGUGAGUUCAAGGCCAGCCUAAACUCCAAUAGGAGACCUUGUCUCAAAAAAAAAAAAAAAAAAAAAAAAAGGAGGAAAAAAAGAAAAAAGAUAUUUAGAUUCCUUGUAGGAAAAGAAAGCUAACUGGCCCUGAACGAGAUUUCUGUGGCUUACCGUCCACAUCUUGCCCUUGACAGUGUUCACCAUGUGGCUAUGAUCAGUGAGAGCUGUUGGGCCUCUGUCCACCUACUACUGUUUCCGGUGUGAGAAUCUCAGGCCCCAGGACUGUCCCCAACCCUCACCCCAGUCACUGCUCCCAUUUAGGGUUCCCUCUGCCCACAAACUCAGCCCACCUGGCAGGGUCCUGGGGCAGGUGCUCAGUCCUGGCUCCCAGUGGAUUCUGCAGGGCCCACUGCUGAGCUGGUGCAUGCAGAGUGGACCCCAUGGGAAGCCCCUGCUGGUGGAAAGGUGAGGGUGUGUGGAGCUGGAGUCAGAGGUGGAGAGAGGAGUCUGGACAGCCCCCGCCAGGCUGAACCUCGCUCAGGGCCCUCUCUCCCCUGGACCCACUCCCUGUCCCUUGGCCUCUGCUCCCAGCCUAGGUACCAGCAGAGCACUGGCCUCUGGUGUGUGUGUGUCUCAGAAUCACUGACCUUUGGGGUCCAGCCCCCUUUUCUGGCAUCAUCUGGACUGUCCUCUGUGUCUCCCACCCUCCUGAGGCCUGAGCAUGCCUGUUUCUCCUUAUCCCUGGUCAAUGUGAAGAGUACUCUGCAUUCAUUUAAUAGGCCUGAGGUGGUAUUUCAAACCAUUUUUGUCUUCAAGGUACUGGGAUUGAACCCAGGUCUUUUGCACUAAACCACAUCCCCAGUCCUUUAAUUUUUGAGACAGGACCUCAGUAAGUCACUAAAUUACCCAGGCUGGGUUUAAACUUGUGAUCCUCCUACCUCAGUUUCCCAGAGUGCUAGGUUUAUAGGUUUGCAUACCUGGCUUAUGUAUUUAUUUUGCAGUGCUAUGGAGACUACAUUUUUUUUCUGUGUUGCUCUUUACUCCUUGUUGGUAGGUUGAGUUUUGGUCCUGGGGAUCAACCGUGCAUACUAACAAUGUGCUCCGCCACUGAGCUACAUGCCAGGCCCCUCAUCCCCUCUCUGUGGACUCAUGGAUUCCUGUUUCUCCAGUGUGUCAUAAUCUAUUUCAUUAUUUGUUUCCAUGCUCAAGGGUAUUUGUGUUUUGUUUCAAUAACACCUUUCUCUAUUUUCCCUAUAUUUUAUUAGUUAAUUUUAAAAGAUACUGAGUUUUAUAUUGGCAUUUGAUUUUUUAAAAAUUUGUUUAAUUUUUGUUUUUUUGAGACAGGGUCUCACUGGGCAGUUCAGGCUGGCCUUGAGCUCACUUUAGAGCCCAGGCUGGUCUCAAACUUGUAAGGAUACUCCUGCUUCAGCCUCCUGAGUGCUGGGAUUACAAGUGUGCAUCACCACGCCUGGCUAAUAUUUUUACAAAUUUUAAUGGUCUAAAUUAAUGUUUCAUAUUUAGUGUGUUUUGUUACUACUAAGGUUAAAGUACUUUUCCAUUGAUUUUUUUUUCCUAGCUACAUGUCACUAAGAAUAUAAGAAUCUAACUGAGUUUUGUAAAUUGACCUCUGUCUCACUGCUGCCACAGUGGGGAUCUUGUCAGGACACGCCCAAAAGGAGCACUAAGAUCAAGGGUUUAUUGAAAGCAAAAGAACCCUCCAUAAGGAGAAGAGUUCACAGUCCUGAGGAGGUUUGAUGUUGAAGAAUUUAGACAUUAGGGUAGAGUCAGGUAUGGCAGUGCACCCCUAUAGACACAGAACUCAGGAGGCUGAGCAGGAGGGUUGCUGUGAGUUUAAGGCCAGCCUGGGCUACAUUGUGAGUCCAAGGCCUGUCUGAACUACAUAGUAAAACACUGUCUCAAAAAUCAGUAAACAAAGCGGGCAUGGUGGCUCACACCUGUAAUCCCAGCACUCAGGAGGCUGAGGCAGGAGGAUCCUUGCGAGUUCGAGACCAGCCUGCACUACAAAGUGAGCUCAAGGCCUGCCCAAACUGCAUAGAGACCCUGUCUUUUUUUUUUUUUUUUUUUUUUUUUUACCGGUACCGGGAAUUGAACUCACAACCGCCUGCUUGCAAGGCAGGUGCUUAUGCUACUGAGCUAAAUCCCCAGCCCCCGAGACCCUGUCUUAAAAAAAAAAAAAGACAAAAAAAAAUCAGUAAACAAAAUAAACAUGAGGAUUUGAGGCAGAACUGAGAGAUUGGUCUGGGACUUUACUCUUACUGAUGAGCAGGGACUCUGUCAGUUAUUUGGGUGAUGCAUUUUUUCACUAACCCUUGGAGUGGUGCCCAAAGCCCAUGGUGGGGUGGGGAUGGGGAGCUUGCAACUGCCUUGCUAAUGUUAGGCAUGGCAAGUGGGUCCAGGUUUGGCUAAAGGUGGCUGAAGACACUGUGUGCACCUCUAUAGACUGUGUGUGAGCUGGGUUAGCUGGUGACUUUCUCUUUUUGUAUUUAAACCUGAAUAUCUUGGAUCUGGGUUAAAGUUUAACUCAGAGAGCGAAUGCAGCCCACCAGCCUUUCCCUACCUGCCUUUACCUACCGUGAGAGACAUAAUCCUCAUCAGUCACUCUGAGAUGCCAGGGGACUGCAGGUCUCUUCUGAAACUGCUUCCGGCAGAGAGGGACACUGUUCCCGCCUACAGAUUGUGGAACUCUCACCCUGACUGACCUAAGGGUUGGUGCACCAGUGUGUAGGAUUUGAUAAUAUGGGGUGUAGUUUGGGUAAUAGGGAAGUAGCGGGGAGCCUUCUUAAGGUCCAAGGCGGAGAACCAACCAAUGGAGUCUCCUGGAAUCUGGGAAAGAAUUGUGCAGUGUUUGGAUCUGCCGCUAGAGGGUGGGGUAGAGUUACUGCCUCGGUGAGGAGCCGGAGGUCUUCCACACCCAGGCUUUGACCUCCGGGAGAAUGCGGAUGUUGCAGGGAGACUGAGAAAGUCCAAGAAGCCCACAUUUAGGAAAUCCGUCUGCGAGGCUGCAGACUUGUAUGUGCUGUUCUUUGACAGGAUAUUAUUGUCUUCAGGGGGGAAAUCGGCUGGGAUCUUCUAGCUUUAACUAUGAGUGGUGCUGAUUUUGCACUUCUGGGGAUUCUGUGGUGCCAGGCAGCAGGAUCUACGUGUGACUAAGCCAUCUAGGGAGCUUUUACACAGUCUCAAAAGGCAGAACUCGCUUUCACCUCUGCCAGUAUUGAAGAGCAGCCCCUACUUUUAAUAAGUCUCCUCCCAUAGGGGAGUAGGGUGUCAUGGGACAAUUAAGAAUUCCUGGUUAAACGCUUGAUCUUCCAGGUGGCAGGUCAAAGCAGGAGUAAAGAAACUGCCUGAGGUUUCCUUCCUCCACAAUGACGGCUCCAGACUUACAGGAGAGUUUGGUUAAAACAUGUAAGCUGCCCCCAUAAAUGAGGAAACAGGUUUGCUCACCUAUGAUGCCCAUGGCUCCCCAGAGUUCAUUGGAGGUGAUGGAGAUGUUUUCAGACUGGACACUGCAGACUGCCCCAGGCUCCCUCAGUGCUGUCCACACUGAGUUCCCUUUAGAGUUUUGGUUGGUUGCAUCCCUCUCUGGGGACUGGAGCAUUGAUCCUCCAAUUGCCUAAGUGAAAAGCAGCAUCUCGACCUACUGGGUUAGGCCAGUGUGUUCCGAUUGAACCGUCUCAAGCCCAGGGACCAGUCUUCUUAUGUUUAAAGCCAGAGCCUUGAGCCGGGAAUUUAACUCAGCAACAUAAGUGCCUGGCAAGCACAAGGUCAUGAAUUCAUGAGUUCAAUCCCUGGUACCAAAAGAAAAAAAGAAAAAGCCAGAGCCUUGUUCUUGCCCCAAGUUUUAUCUUUGGACAGCUUGGGCUUUGGGUCUGGCUAAUUGCAACAAAUACCAGUUUUGCCUGCCUCUGAUUUUGGCUCCUCUCUCCCUUUUCCUCUUCUAGAUCCCAGUUGUUGAAAACAGAAAAGGUCAUAGCCAGCUCUUGGACCAAUCUCUGGGUCCCAUUUGUAACUUUGUAGCUUCUACUAAACAUGGGGUGAAGUAACUUAUGUAAUGUUGUCCCUCAUGUGAGAGCCCUUCCCUCCUAUGAGGGAAUCAUGUUUUAAAAAGCGUCCUCUAGCCAGCUCUGAAGGAUGGCUGGGUUUUUUUGUGGGGUUUUUUGUUUUUUGUGGUACCAGGGAUCGAACUCAUGACCACACACUUGCAAGGAAGGCGCUUAUGCCGCUGAGCUAAAUCCCCAGCCCCAUGGCUGGGUUUUCUUUUUCUUGGACAACCUCUCUGAUUCUUCUCAUUUACUUGGUUUUGCGCUGCUCGUUCUUUGUGUCUGUGACAAGGGCUGGAUGAUUUUGGCCCUUUGCAUCCUUCCUCCCACUGUAUUGUAACCCCCGUUGGGCUCCAAGGCAGGCACUGUGCCCUUGCUUGGGCUGAUUUCUCUCUGCACUGUUAGCAAAUACUUCACUGUCGCGGCACUGGGCUGUUUCUAAUAGUCUUUGUUUCUCAGUUGGGGUGCAGCAGGUGGCUGAAACAAAUUUACAUCAUGCCAAAACAGAACAACAGCCGAGGAUAAAGUCUGAAACUGUUCUGUGCACCUAGAAGAAUCGUCAGAAAAUUAGCCUGAGUGCUCCUUGUAUUGUUGGGUAUCUGCAGCUGAAAAGGAGACUGAGACAAUUCCUUCCACUGCGGGAUCUCUCCCAAAAGCAGGCCAGGUUGUGAACUGGGAGAUAAGAGGCUACAGUCAGUGGGGUUUGAGGCUAUCUUUGAAGGAGAAGGCUGAGGGCUUUAGGUUUCUCUGGGGAGCUGGCUGCAGAUGAGGUUUCUGAGUGACUUGUGGAAAGUGGUACCAGUACACUGACCUUGAGACUAUAAGGCAAAGUUGAGAGAGUCACCCUUGGUACCCUGAGAGACAUGUGAUGGACUAAGAGGAGAUCCUCAGUAAAAUCACUCUCUGGCUCAGGAAUUAUCUUACUUUUCUCUUGCUGGGACAACAUACCCAACACCCAAAAGUCAAGAAGGAAAGAAUUUGUCCCCUUACCUCCCGGGUCACUUCCCAAUAUAAUGUUAGCAGAUCCCAAUACAAUGUUAGUGAACAGAGAAUUGAUCGGGACACUGAAAAGGAACAGCAAGAUCAAAGAUUUCCUAAAAGCCAGAGUAUACGCCCCGGGGUAGCAAUGCCCACUGAGGAGACCUCCGGCCCUGAGGAGAUCCAGGUUGAGGAUGUGAAUGCUACCCACCCUGGAUAAAAUUUAGGGGGUAGAAAGGACUCUAGUCAUCCCUUGUUGGUUUCUUACCUUCUGUCUAGAACUGUUUCUCUUCUGCAUUGCCUGUCUGCCAUGCCAUCUUGCCUUGGAUGGACAGCCCAUUAUGGACUGAAAUCUUUACAAACUAUGAGCUAAAUAAGUAUCUCUUCCUCUAACUUUGGGUGUCAGGUAUUUUAUCUCAGCAACAAAAAAAGUAACUAAAACAGUACCUAACCUAAUUCCCCUCCCCAAAAAAAACCCUAUUAUUGCACAAUUUCACAUGGCACUGUGUUUUAGGAACAGGUAUGUUGUAUUUCAUAAAAAAACUGACCACACAUAUAAAAAAAUUAGCGUAUGGUCAAAUUGCAACAUCAGCUGCUACUAUUGAUAUUAUUAUUAUCUAACCUCUAGUGAAGAAGACUUGUCAUUUUUGCAAAGCUCUUUGCCAAUUAUAAAUUCAUCUAUAUCCUCAUGCUCUAUGCGUGAAUUAUAUUACAUUAUUAUAUUUACAAGAAUGUAAACCAUGAGAAGGUCCAUAGUUUUCCCAAGAUCACAAAACCCAGCCUUGACAGAUACCUAAAAAUCUAUUUCUUGCCUUCAAACUUGUUAAGAAAAAAUAUAUAGGUAUUAAUUCUGAAUCUGCAUCCAAACCGGGUACAACAACAUGGAUGAAAGACCAGGACCAGGAGAGUCAAAGCAGGAAGAGAGCGUAUUUUAGUCAUGAAAGAAUUGAAUUAGGAAUGUGAGGAAGAAGGGGGUCAGAAAAAGAAAAUUACAGAAUGGAGACCAAUUAGUGAAUACAAAGAGUCUCACACUCAUGUCUACAAAAGCUAAACAAGUAACAGGAAGGAGUAAAGUGCUUCAGAGGUGAAUGAGAGGGAGUAGCAGGGACUGUGAUAUACUCAGGUCUCACCCAAAGGGACAGACUCCAGUGAGCUCAGUCCAACUCAUGCUUGAGGAAAUUUAGCAUCUAAUUAUCUUUCUGAGCACAGAAAAUUGAAGGGGGGGGGGGGGUUUUUUACCAGGGAUUGAACUCUCGACCUUGUGCUUGCCAGGCAGGUGCUUAUACCACUGAGCUAAAUCCCCAGCCCAAAAUUGAAAUUUUUAUGUGAAAUUUCUAAGUGUUUUUUUUUUUCAAGUUGUGAGUUCUUUAAACAUUGAUGGUUUGUUAUAAACUCUUUAAAUGCUGCUCAAGCCAAGGUAGCAGUUGCAGGUCAGCUAAUACGCAACCUUUAGUACACUGAAAGGUGAUUCCCCCAACCUACAGCCCCAUGCAAAGAAGUCUUAACACUGAUGGACACAAAAUAUGUUAUUUAAUGUCAAUUUCUGCAAAGACACAUUUAAGCAACAAAAUAUACAUUUGUCAACCUUUUAGAAUUUGUUUUAUACAUUAACAAAUACAGUGUGCUACCAUAGCAAUAAAUUAAAUAUACACUAUUUACAUUACAUAGGCAGUCAGGGUCUACGAUUCACCUCCUCACUAAGAGGAAGAAGGAAAAGUCAUCGUCACAGGGAUCACUUCCAAGCUACACUUCUUGGGUUCUAUCACACAGGAAUCUCUUCACACAGAGACAGUAGCACUCCCCCAGCUGGAGUGUUAGAAGGUAACACCCACGACAAGGGAGAGUUGGCACACAUGCUAACGAGGAGGAAGAGGAGUUUCACCCGUCUAAGCAGAAAUGUCACAAAAUCAAAAAGGAUGGCAAUGAGGUUCCAGCCUGUCAACCAAGCACCCUCUCCCCUGGGCUGGGAAGGCAAAGGACAGAGCUCUACCUGCCAGCCUCUCACCAGACAGGGCUCUGCUGUCCUCCACCCUCGGGGACUUGUCUUCUUCCCAAGGGAGCACUUGGCCCUCUGAAAGGAGAGGGAUGUGAGGUUGGAUGGAAAGGGACUAAUGGCAAAGAGGCUUGGAAGAAAAAUGCCCCUCAGUGCCUCUCACCAGACUACAAGAACAGCACAGCAAACUUCAGUGACCAAUCCUUGCCUUUGACAAGGGGGCAGCUGGAGACUGGGGUAGGAACCAUGAGGUCCUCAGUAUGGCAGACGGGCCUGGUCCCUGCCAUCCCUUUGAGCCAUAAGAUCUACUUGAGCCCCCUUCUACUCCCCAGCAACAGACCAGUCUCUAUUGACUAAGAUACACUGGAAAAGGUAGUGUUUGAGCUGGCACCUUCAUGGGUCAGGAUAAGGAAAGUGAAAAGGUUACAUCCCACUUUGAUUAUCCACCUUCAUUUUAGAAUCAGGAAGAGGCUGGGGGUAAAGCUCUGUGGUAGAGGCCUUGCCUAGCAUGCAUGAGGCCCUGAGUUCCUUCCCCAGAACCAGAAAGGAGUGGAGGAGAAUCAGGGUAAAAUGAAUAGUUUCUUUUUACCACCUUCCAUUGUAAUUUAGAACAAGGAGGCCAAUCGUCUACCGCACCUUUGCCCUGACCUCUGCCCCUGAGGAACUAAGGGGUAAUUUGUCAGAAAUCCCUUCCCUCCCUGUUUUCUUUGUUUAAGUUGCAACCCAAAUCCAGGACCUUUGGUGACCAAUCUAAAAGAGCCCCCACCCUCUCUGGAAAACGGCACAGCCUGAGGUCCCACGACCACGAGGCCCCUGCUAAUGAGGGAGGAACUCGGGCCCAGGAAAUGAAGUCACUGGCUCUACCAACUAAGCAGCUGGUGCAGAAGAAAAAGCCUUGGGUUCCAGCCCAAGUCGUGCCACUAGCUAGCUGUGUGACCUCAAGCAAGUUCUUUUUUCUCACUGGAGCUAAGGUUUUAUAUCUAGACAACAACAGGCAAGAGGAGAGACACUAAAAUAAGCCAGAAGGUCUGGGCAUCAGGAUGAUGCUCACAAAACUGAAUAUGUUCCAGGAAACACUGCUUGACAUUCAUUACCAAGACGGAAACUCUGGCUAAGACCUGGCACCUCAAGCUUUUCUGAAUCUGCUUUUAAACAUCGAUGGAGCUGGAGGCAUCUGGGUGCCCCAUUGUGCCUGGAAAGUGGCCUCAGGGGCAGAGACAUGAACCUCUCGAGAAGGUCACAUUGGAAAUGCCCCAGAUAUAAUUAUGAGCACCAUCUAUGCAGGCCUGAGCCCUAUGACUAAGUGCAGCAAUCAAAGGAAAGAUAUUUUGGAUCAGAGUAUGGGGGUUGAAGCCCUCUAGGAAUGUGAGAUGCUGCCCACAGCCCAGAAGAAUGAAGGGACAAAGGACCUCACCCUCAUUCUCCUCCCUGUCAGCAUGGGGACCCCAGGCAGGCUGGCAGUGCACACACGGAAACCACAGGAUGGAUUUGCUAGAGAUGGUGAGGCAUGACCCAGAGAAAGGGGGCAUAUCAGGUCCUGUCUUGAGCACCCCAACAGCAAACCAAGAGUGCAGACCACACCCCAGGUCUGCGCCUCUGUGGGGCACAUUUGUGCCUCCCGGUUCCUCUGGACACACUCUGCCAUCCUGCCCACUGGCCUAGAGGUGCUACCAGGAGGUGGGGGCCGCACAGAGAGCGGCCAGAGCAGCGGCAACAGGAAAAUAUGACACUCCCCAGCAUGAGACAGCAUGAGAACAACUGGGAAGGCCCAGAGGACACCAGACCUUUAACGCAACAGCACAAGCACCGACCAUCUCUACACGCUGGCUUCUCAGAGCCACUAGUGAGCCAGAACCCGGUAAGAAUUUUCAAAGAAAAUACAGCUUGACCUUUUAAGUUACUUCAGAAACCCAGCCGACAGAACACUGCCAGAACAGCAGGCCCGAAUCCAGCAACGGGUGCCACUACACUGACAUUUAAUAAAAGCUAAGCAGAUAUUAUGUUGACCUUCUAACUAGAUAAAUCUGACCAAACUGGUACUCUAUGUAAGCACAUUUCUCAAACGGAGUGACAGGAGGGGUGCCCCCACCCCGGGCUGAAAGUAGGAUCCAAUAUAAGAAUGGCAAACAAUCACAACAGUGUCCCAUAGAGGAAAAAAAAAAAAAAAAGGCAAACAAAAUAUCAAGUUUGCCCUACUCGCAAAAGCAAUGGAGAAAUGGUUAGAAUAUAAGUCCAAAAAAACAUGUCCCAUUUCUAAGCUUUGGCUUGCUAGUCCAGACCCAGAACAGAGACAAGCAUUUGACUGGGAAUCUUGUCAUCUGUUCAUGGAAGCAGGGAGUCCGGCCUGCAGCACCCCAGAAGCCCUGCCCCAAAGAUACCUAUGUACUUGAGGCUGGAAAGCCUCCAGAGAUCUGCUGGUAAGACUCUGUGUUUUACUUGGCAGACACCCCACCCUAAGCCAGGAACAGAAACGCCCUGCAGACUUGGACAGGCAACUGGCUCAUCAUCCCGGAGAAGGUGGCACUGGUAAGGGGUGCAGGUGGCGUGCAGGGUCUGAACCACAGCCAGAUGGUGCCCGGCUUGCAAGAGUCCUACUGAUGUGACAGCCGCCUACAGGCCUGCAGUUGGAGAGGGAAGUGAAGGGCCAGAGGAUCAUGCCCCAGACAGUCAAAGGGCACAGAAGUGAGUCGUGGCCCCCAAGGCAGCCCUGCCCACUUCCCAGCAAAGCGCAGACACUUGAUAGGGGACAUCAUGUCCCUCCCCACAUGCCUAAGUUCAACCCCAACACAUUGGCCUGACUAGAACCUGCCAGGCCAUCCCCCUUCGUUCCUUUUCCCUCUUCGAUAAAUGAGUGGUUUACCAUUUAUGUCUUCCCUGAACCUCUACAAACCUGAGACCCGGAUCCGCGCAGCGCCCGGCUGAGCCCCUGGGCCCUGAGGUUAUUGAGCAGUGACCCCUCCCAGCACUGGCUCAUUCAUUUUCCCUGAAUUCCUUCUUGCUCCUGACUUCCCACUCCUUCACAGGAAACAAUAUCUGCCUGAAGGGGAGUGACUUCCCGGGGCUUCUCCACAGCUAGGAUAACCAGAACCUGCCUGAAAUUAACCAGGAUGGAAAGUUCCAGUUAGUUGGGGAAGUGAGCAGCAAUGGUCUCCGACACACCAGCUCUGUCUAGAGCCUCCAUCUGUGAGAGUCUGGCUCCGGGUACGCAGACAGCGGAAUGGAGCAGCCCACAGCCUGGGCCGACAGAUGGGUCUAAAGUACUCAGCACAGAGCAGGAAGAUGUUUCAGAGCUCCAGAGGAACAGGAUCAAAGGAGCUGUUUCUAUCAGGACAGCCUGGAGGACGCUACAGAUUUUGGUUCUGGGGACGCAGCCCCUGCACCUCGGCUCCACACACGGGUGGUGGUAAACCUCCUUCCUACCCUGCCCAGGAGGGCACUGCAUGUGAGCAAGGACCGAUGGGGCCACCUUAUUAUCUGCUGUCACCUUUCCUCCCCACCCACCACUCUCUGCCUCUGAAGCAGACAAGCUCCCCCAUCUCUGGCUGAGCCCCAGUACCUACAGCCCCCUGAUCCCCAACUGUCUUUCCUGCAGACAAAACAAGUGGGCAGAUGAUCCACACAGACACCACGAGGGUCAGGAGCAGAAUCGCCUCCGGGAAAAAGUCUUGUCCAGAGAUGAAGGUAUGUUGGCAAAGGACCCAGCAGGACUGUCACUAGGUUAGGACACAGGACAGACAGCUGGUCUGGUGGGCCUGUGACGAUCAGAGUAGUGGACGGCACCCCCAAGCUGCUGGAAUAAGAGCCUUCUGCCAGACAGAGUCGGGGCUUCCCUGGAAGAGAAGGGAAGGGGACAAUGAGCAAAGAAAGGGGGAAACACACUCGAGACUAAGGGCUGGGCACACAGUGACUACACUCAGAUGAGAACGCCAAACACAAGGAAGUCCAGCUUCACUCACAUGGUCCCAGAAGUUGGGCAUAAGCAACACCUGGGCAAACAGAGGCACACAAAGUCCAUGACGGACGGUGGAGGUGAAUGCAGACAUCCCAUUUUCUCUUGUUUUUUCAUAACCCAUUUCACAUAAAGUGAGCUCAGCCAUACCCUUCCCCUUGGACCUGACUGGGAGUCCCAGACCACUGGGAGUCCCAGACAGGGAGAGUUGGUGGGAUGAGGGGGGAGUCAGACAGUCCUAACUUCAUGAGCAGUUUUGGCCAUAAUAGCAAGUGGACUCGUCCUGUCCUGCUGGAACCACAAGCCCCCUGGGUGGAGGCCAGGAGCAGAGGCCUCCCUGGGGCUGCUCUUACAGUCCUGGGGGCAGGGGUACACUUUGGCAUGUAGGAGGGCACAGUUCAGCCUACAGCCUUGAUCAAAGACACAAGAAGGGAGGGAAAGAGAAGGAGGUGGGCCCUGGGCUGCCUCUCCUGCCUGCUGGAACCAGGGUCACCCAGUGAGGGGAGACCUAUACAUAACGAGCCUCCCCAAUCCCACAGGAAAUACUCUCUGUCACACCCACAGCAUCAGCCCUUUUUUCCCCCACAGACCUGGGGAGGCUUCAGGGGACCCCUCCCCCAGUUGGCAGGGUCUCUCUGGCCAUUCUCAGGUCAAAAGGCCCCUGAUAUCAUGCUCUCCCUUGAUGAUCACCCCAGGACAAGCACUCACUCACCUUGGACAGGAGAAGAAUUCUUCAUUCACAUUAAUGACCCUGUUUCGGGAAAUAGCUGUAUGAGUUUUAAAUGCUCAGACAAUAAUCUGCUUGAUACUCAGCUUCCCUGCACUCAAUUCUCAACAAUCUGGUGACCUCAAGAAAGCUCAGGGAGCUACAAAAUCAUGACUCACAGGUGGGCACAGCUGUGCCCAAUGGUGUAGCUGUGAUGCACUCAGAGUGCCAAAGCCAGCAGGUCAGCCCCUGGCAGGUAUCUCCACCACACAGGGACAGAAAGCAUCACCCCCAGAUCUGUCAGAGCUGUCUUCUCGCUGCCUCCUUCAGGGGACCCCCGUGUGAUAUCUGAGAUGUGCUCCCCUUGCAGCCUUCAGGAAAGCAUCUUGGCUCAGGAAGAGCCUGGAGUGAGGAGCUGCCCACACCUGGUGGUCCUUACCCCACUGGAACUGGCAUGGCUGAGCUUGUCAAAGCGGAAUUUCAGGUUUGAUCUCGGGGAAUUUCUGCUUUUGGCAUCUAAAAAAAAGAAGAAUGCCUGUGAAAAGGAGGUGAAUCAUCCUAGCUGAAUAGAGUGGUGGCAAGAAGGGGAUUCCACCUCUCCUCAAGGCAUGUUAACCUAGAUUAGCAAUGUCUUACGACAUUGGCUGCUAAACACAGGUCAUUUUAAAAAAUUAAACUUAUAGGCUUAUAAGUAGAUAGGUUAUAUUCAAAGAAGAUAAUGAAUACUCAAAAUUCACUUUCUCAUUAUUUACUAAGUUUACUUUUGUGUGUGUGUGUGCUGUGCCAGGGAUCAAACUCACGAGCUCCCACUUGCCAGGCAGGCACUUACACCACUGAGCUAAAUCCUCAGCCCCAAGUUUACUAUUAUUAUAUGUUCUCUUCUGUUUGCAGUAUCCAUAUGGCAAAAAUACCCUAUGAGAGUGGCUGUGUAUCUGUUGCCAGGAGUGACAUCAGCUACUAUAGGAGUAUUUAUACCACAAAAACUGUCCAGUCCUACAAAUCAGAGCUUGACUUAUAAUCUGUGUCUAGACUUAAGAAACUAUGGAGAAAAUAAUAAUGUGGGUUAAACUUUAAAAUUACUGUGUAGCACCGUAUGAUGCUGUAUACCUGUAAUCCUAAGGAGGCUGGAGCAGAAGGAUCACAAGUUCAAGCCCACUCUGGGCAAUUCAGCACCUUUGCAAGACCUUAGGGGGUAGCUCAGAACAAAGAGUCUAGGUUUGAUCCCCCUUACUACACAAAAAUUAAAACAAAAUUUAAAAAGUGUUGUAACUGCAGCCAUUACAUUGUGAACAACAUCAAGAAACAGUAAAUAUUCCAGUAUUUGCAAAACAUCCUCCAACUCAGCAAAGAAGUUGCUCACGUCACCCACACAGGAAUAAAGCUCUUAGUAGAAAAUAUUCACUUUUAUAAGUUACAUUAAGCAACAUUCACAUCAGAACCACAUCAUGACCUACAACCUUAAGCUGGCUAUGGUACAAAAGUUAAGAGAAAUAUCAACGGAAGUGUCUUGUGAAAAUCAACUGGAUGUAUGGGAUUUACAAUGAAGAAUAUUGUUUUUUAUCAUUAAGCUGCUUUAGAUUCAUUACAUUAGUAAAAUUUACAGUAAGUGUGUGUAUACAUGUGGGUAUACAGCAGAGGGAGCCCUUUUUAUCACAAGAAGUAUUUUACUGAUUUAUUAUAUACUACCUUUGCAGUACAUGAAGUUUACAUAUAUCUUGGAGAAUGGGUACAUGCUCAUAAUAUGGCUUAUUUCUGUUUUUUAGAAUCCCCUUCCCGCCCACCUCUCUCUCUCUCUAUCCUCUUUCCUCAUUUUCAAUCAUUAUUAUUUUUACUCAUGUACAUAAAACACAGUAUUUACAUUCAUUGAGACUAUUAGGUUCCUGUACACGGCAUGACUUAAUCUACUUACUUCCCCUUCCCCCCACCAGCACCCUCGUUCUCCUGGACUGCUCAUUUGCAAAAGAUCUACCCCACCUCCUACCCAUCCCUUAUUAUGCUCUUUGUUUAUACUUUGCCUUGCUCAAAUGAAAGAUACCAUACAGUAUUUAAGCUCGCGUAUCUGGUUUAUUUUACUCAACUCUGUAUUUUCCAACAAAGCUUUGUAAAUGGGGAGAGGAGGAAAGGUUUAAGGAGGGUAAAAGAAUGCACAAAAUAAAAAAGCUAUAUCAGUGUUUCUUUGAUGAAUAUGAUCAUUGUGCAUAUCUAAAAUGUAUCAAUAAAAUCAAAUCUUUAAAAAAUUA